rnacentral:lncRNA from 1 species
CUUUGAAAUGGUUAUCGAAUGUUCAUUUUAAUUCUUGUAUUUACAGAUGAAUAAAGAAUGAAAAAAUAUUAUACAUUUCAUGGGAGAGGGAUACAUUUGUUAUGAAUGGGGAUUGUUCAUGGCAAACAAACAAUAACAAUACAUGCCUCAUACACCAUACAAGUAGGCCACAGUUAAUCAAACAAGUAAGAUAUAAACAAGUAUAUAAUCGAAUCAAAUAAUCAAAGAAUGAAAUAAUGAAGCAUUAAACAAUGUAUG